CGCGGCCGCAGAGUUUGAUCAUGGCUCAGAUUGAGCGCUGGCGGCAUGCCUUACACAUGCAAGUCGAACGGCAGCACGGGGGCAACCCUGGUGGCGAGUGGCGAACGGGUGAGUAAUAUAUCGGAACGUGCCCUGGAGUGGGGGAUAACGUAGCGAAAGUUACGCUAAUACCGCAUACGAUCUACGGAUGAAAGUGGGGGAUUCGCAAGAACCUCACGCUCCUGGAGCGGCCGAUAUCUGAUUAGCUAGUUGGUGGGGUAAAAGCCUACCAAGGCGACGAUCAGUAGCUGGUCUGAGAGGACGACCAGCCACACUGGGACUGAGACACGGCCCAGACUCCUACGGGAGGCAGCAGUGGGGAAUCUUGGACAAUGGGCGCAAGUCUGAUCCAGCCAUGCCGCGGGAGUGAAGAAGGCCUUAGGGUUGUAAAGCUCUUUUGCCAGGGACGAUAAUGACGGUACCUGGAGAACAAGCCCCGGCAAACUUCGUGCCAGCAGCCGCGGUAAUACGAAGGGGGCUAGCGUUGUUCGGAUUUACUGGGCGUAAAGCGCACGUAGGCGGAUUGUUAAGUCAGGGGUGAAAUCCCGGAGCUCAACUCCG
rnacentral:rRNA from 1 species